GACGAACGCUGGCGGCGUGCUUAACACAUGCAAGUCGAACGGAAAGGCCCUGCUUUUGUGGGGUGCUCGAGUGGCGAACGGGUGAGUAACACGUGAGUAACCUGCCCUUGACUUUGGGAUAACUUCAGGAAACUGGGGCUAAUACCGGAUAGGAGCUCCUGCUGCAUGGUGGGGGUUGGAAAGUUUCGGCGGUUGGGGAUGGACUCGCGGCUUAUCAGCUUGUUGGUGGGGUAGUGGCUUACCAAGGCUUUGACGGGUAGCCGGCCUGAGAGGGUGACCGGCGACAUGGGGGCUGCGAUACGGCGCAGACUCCUACGGGAGGCAGCAGUGGGGAAUAUUGCACAAUGGGCGGAAGCCUGAUGCAGCAACGCCGCGGUCGGGAUGACGGCCUUCGGGUUGUAAACCGCUUGCGCCUGUGACGAAGCGGGAGUGACGGUAAUGGGUAAAGAAGCACCGGCUAACUACGUG
rnacentral:rRNA from 1 species